AGUUUGAUCAUGGCUCAGAUUGAACGCUGGGCGGCAUGCUUUACACAUGCAAGUCGAAUGGUAACAGGCCUUCGGGUGCUGACGAGUGGCGAACGGGUGAGUAAUGCAUCGGAACGUGCCCAAUCGGUGGGGGAUAACGUAGCGAAAGUUACGCUAAUACCGCAUAAGCCCUGAGGGGGAAAGCAGGGGAUCGCAAGACCUUGCGCGAAUGGAGCGGCCGAUGUCAGAUUAGCUAGUUGGUGGGGUAAAGGCCUACCAAGGCGACGAUCUGUAGCGGGUCUGAGAGGAUGAUCCGCCACACUGGGACUGAGACACGGCCCAGACUCCUACGGGAGGCAGCAGUGGGGAAUUUUGGACAAUGGGCGCAAGCCUGAUCCAGCCAUGCCGCGUGCGGGACGAAGGCCUUCGGGUUGUAAACCGCUUUCAGCCGGAAAGAAAUCGCCAAGGCUAAUAUCCUUGGUGGAUGACGGUACCGGAAGAAGAAGCACCGGCUAACUACGUG
rnacentral:rRNA from 1 species